rnacentral:rRNA from 1 species
UUGUUAGCCGCCGCGGUAAGACGAACCGUGCGAACGUUGUUCGGAAUCACUGGGCUUAAAGGGCGCGUAGGCGGUCGGGCAAGUCCGGGGUGAAAUCCUGCAGCUUAACUGUAGAAGUGCCUUGGAUACUGCCCGGCUCGAGGGAGGUAGGGGUCUGUGGAACUUCUGGUGGAGCGGUGAAAUGCGUUGAUAUCAGAAGGAACGCCGGUGGCGAAAGCGGCAGACUGGACCUUUUCUAACGCUGAGGCGCGAAAGCUAGGGGAGCAAACGGGAUUAGAAACCCGCGUAGUCC